ensembl:lncRNA MIR99AHG mir-99a-let-7c cluster host gene
GACAGAGGAGAAAUAUUUAUAAGGUUUAGCUCCAGUAUCACAGGCAGAGCAAUGGAGGAUGGAUUUGGAGCUGCAAGGCAAUAAACUGGUAACUGAACAAACAUGCAACCUCAAAGAGAAAAGUUUGAGGAAAUCACUUCAAGGACAAAAAAUUGCAAUGUAAAGAGAAUUAUUUAUCUCCAAAUUCCAGAUUACCCCCCUGCCCAACCCCUGCCAGCAGCACCGUCCACAUGGUUUCUCAUUUAGUUUUGUGUUAGUUUAACAAAGUAGACUCUGCAAUCUGGAUAAAAUAGUAAGUCACCUCAGAUGGAUCUGAGAACGCUGUCUGGGCUUGGUACCAAGAGCUGGUAUUUCACAGCAGCGACCGCCUCACAGACGAGCUGUGGGAAGCAGGAGGGAGACUCUCUCUUAGGGUGCCACUACUAUGGAGACACAGCUGGGCUGAACAAGAUUUGCUUCAAACGACAACAAGAGAGACAGAAAGUAUCUGGUUCAACCGCUGCCCGAGCAGGCAGGCACCAGAAGAGCUAGCAGCCAAUCCGGCCAUGCUCGAAGCCAGCUCUGCAGCUCAGCCAAUCAGUGACAUCAUUGCUUUCUUUAGCUUGCCCAUGGUGAUGUGAAGAUGAGAAGAAAUAGCAAGGCCCAACCAGUUCUUCAUCUGGAGACAGUUCAACGUUCUGCAAACCAGAUCUUCAGGAAUUUUACUGGGAUAAUUAUCCAAAUAAAUUGCAAGCAUUCUAUCCAAAUGGAGCUCUUUCUGAGAUGAAGAGAAUUCUCAAUGUCAAGAUUUGAACAAGAAGAGAAUGGAAUACACAAUAUGGACAUCCAUAAAAAUUCAUCAGAGAGCAUUUUACUACUGAGCUGCAAAGGGAAAAACUUAAAAUGGAUAUGAAAAGUGAAGAAAGUGAUCAUAGGAGAAAACCAUUUCAGAUGACAAGAGCACCUCAAAGGCAGCAGCCUCAAGGAGCAGCCAUGGCCCCAGACUUGUCGCACGGAUGCAGAAAACUUAAUGGAGGAGGCUGAGGAACUCUUCCAGACUCUGGGAAAUAUGUCUCCAAGAAAGCAGACAAUACCCCUGCCCUCUGUGGAAGACUGACAAAUAUACAAGUGCAUAUGUAUAUAUAGACUGUCAGAUGAUGUGCCUCGAUUUCUAGCUGGAGUGUGUUCUCAUUAUUCCCGGACAGAUGCACAGACUUCUACAGCACAGUGAGUGGUUAAAAAAAGAAUCUAAAACUAAGCAACCUGGGUUUGGAUGCUGGGUCUGUCCCUUACUGGCUCUGUGAUUUGUUAAGGUAUUUAAUGCCUUUGUUCCUCAGUUUUCUUAUCUGUGAACAGGGUGACUGUAGCAGUACUGAUGUCAUUAGGUUGGUUUGAGGGUUGAGUGAGUUAGUACAUGUAAAAUUGGGUCCCAUUGAAACCCUUCUAACCCUUUACCCAAGAGUAGGUUUAAAUCCUCAUAUAGACUUCCAUUGCAGUCAAUGUCCUUGUUAAAAUUGUAAUUACAUGAUUGUAUUAGUCUGUUUUCAUGCUGCUGAUAAAGACAUACCCAAUACUGGGCAAUUUACAGAAGAAAGAGGUUUAAUGGAUUUACAGUUCCACAUGGCUGGGGAGGCCUCACAAUCAUGGUGGAGGGCAAAAAGGAGCAAGUCACGUCUUACAUGGAUGGCAACAGGCAAAGAGAGAGCUUGUCCAGGGAAACUCCUGUUUUUAAAACCAUCAGAUCUCGUGAGACUCAUUCACCAUCAUGAGAACAAUGCAGGAAAGACCUGCCCCCAUAAUUCAAUCACCUCCCACCAGGUUCCUCCCACAACACGUGGGAAUUGUGGGAGCUGCAAUUCAAGAUGAGAUUUGGGUGGGGACAUGGCCAAACCAUAUCAAUGAUUGUUUCAUAUUUUUCUCCACUACUGGAAUCUAAAUACCUAUGAGGCCAGUGACCUCAUCUAUCUGAUUUAGUGCUGUAUCCUCAUUGCUAGCACAGAACUAGUUAAGAGAAGGCACUUAUCACUUAAGAAUGAAUGAAUGAAUGAAUGAAUUUCCUUCAAUGUAAACAUUUACUCACUAUUUACUUAAAGUACUAUUUUGUUUAAUUUAUCCUUUCUUAAUGUUUAAAAGAUCA